AUGCAGUCAGAUGAUGUUAUCUGGGAUACACUAGGAAACAAGCAAUUUUGUUCUUUCAAAAUAAGAACGAAGACUCAAGGCUUUUGUAGAAAUGAAUACAACUUGACUGGACUGUGUAAUCGGUCAUCCUGUCCCUUGGCAAACAGUCAGUAUGCCACUAUCAAAGAGGAGAAAGGACAGUGCUUCCUGUAUAUGAAGGUCAUAGAACGAGCAGCUUUCCCAAGACGUCUCUGGGAAAGGGUCAGGCUCAAUAAAAACUAUGAGAAAGCAUCGGAGCAAAUAGAUGAAAAUCUGAUUUACUGGCCACGUUUUCUUCGGCACAAGUGCAAGCAGAGAUUCACCAAGAUCACUCAGUAUCUAAUUCGAAUACGAAAACUUACACUAAAGCGACAGAAGAAACUUGUUCCUUUGAGUAAGAAGGUAAAAAGGAGGGGAAAAAGAAGAGAGGAAACGGCAUUAAUAGCUGCUCAGUUGGACAACGCCAUUGAAACGGAAUUACUGGAAAGAUUGAAGCAAGAUACGUAUGGCGACAUCUACAACUUCCCCGUUCAUGCUUUCAACAACGCCCUGGAACAGCAGGAGGCAGAGAGUGACUCUUCAGAGGCUGAGGAAAAAGAUGAAGAUGAUAAUGAUGAAGAUGAAGGACAAAGAGAAUUUGUGGAGGAUGAUGAGGUGGAUGAAAGUGACAUAAGUGACUUUGAGGAUAUGGAUAAACUGGAUGCCAGUAGUGAUGAAGAUCAGGAAGAGAAAUCUUCCAGUGAGGAAGAGGAGAAGGCCUUUAAUGCUAAACACAAAGGCAAAACACCUCUGAAAGGCCCUCCACUGAGAAAAUGAGCCUAUGUAGAAAUGAGUAUGAACAGGAAACAGACCCCACAGCCAAAGUCAGAACCACGUGA